rnacentral:rRNA from 1 species
GAGGAAAGAGGGAGGGGGGAGGAAAAUAGGAAAGUAGAACGGAAAGGCCCCUUUGGGGGUAUUCGAGUGGUGAACGGGUGAGUAACACGUGAGUAACCUGCCCUUGACUUCGGGAUAACUUCAGGAAACUGGGGCUAAUACCGGAUAGGAAUCCUUGCUGCAUGGUGGGGGUUGGAAAGCUUCGGCGGUUUUGGAUGGACUCGCGGCUUAUCAGCUUGUUGGUGGGGUAGUGGCUUACCAAGGCUUUGACGGGUAGCCGGCCUGAGAGGGCGACCGGCCACAUUGGGACUGAGAUACGGCCCAGACUCCUACGGGAGGCAGCAGUGGGGAAUAUUGCACAAUGGGCGGAAGCCUGAUGCAGCAACGCCGCGUGCGGGAUGACGGCCUUCGGGUUGGAAACCGCUUUCAGCAGGGGCGAAGCUUGUGGUGACGGUACCUGCAGAAGAAGCACCGGCUAACUACGUA